rnacentral:rRNA from 1 species
GGGGNAACCCCUCGAGAGUGGCGAACGGGUGAGUAAUAUAUCGGAACGUGCCCAGUCGUGGGGGAUAACGUAGCGAAAGUUACGCUAAUACCGCAUACGAUCUACGGAUGAAAGCGGGGGAUCGCAAGACCUCGCGCGAUUGGAGCGGCCGAUAUCAGAUUAGGUAGUUGGUGGGGUAAAGGCUCACCAAGCCAACGAUCUGUAGCUGGUCUGAGAGGACGACCAGCCACACUGGAACUGAGACACGGUCCAGACUCCUACGGGAGGCAGCAGUGGGGAAUUUUGGACAAUGGACGCAAGUCUGAUCCAGCCAUUCCGCGUGCAGGAUGAAGGCCCUCGGGUUGUAAACUGCUUUUGUACGGAACGAAAAGGUUUCUAUUAAUACUAGGAGCUCAUGACGGUACCGUAAGAAUAAGCACCGGCUAACUACGUGCCAGCAGCCGCGGUAAUACGUAGGGUGCAAGCGUUAAUCGGAAUUACUGGGCGUAAAGCGUGCGCAGGCGGUUAUGUAAGACAGAGGUGAAAUCCCCGGGCUCAACCUGGGAACUGCCUUUGUGACUGCAUAGCUAGAGUACGGUAGAGGGGGAUGGAAUUCCGCGUGUAGCAGUGAAAUGCGUAGAUAUGCGGAGGAACACCGAUGGCGAAGGCAAUCCCCUGGACCUGUACUGACGCUCAUGCACGAAAGCGUGGGGAGCNAAACAGGAUUANAUACCCUGGUAGUCCACGCCCUNAACGAUGUCAACUGGUUGUUGGGUCUUCACUGACUCNGUNACNAAGCUANNGCGUGAANUUGACCGCCUGGGGANU